GGGCCCAUAGCUCAGUUGGCUAGAGCGCACGGCUGAUAACCGUGAGGUCACAAGUUCGAAUCUUGUUGGGCCCACCA
rnacentral:tRNA from 1 species